rnacentral:ribozyme from 1 species
UUUGUUGUAUCGUUCUCGCAUUUUUCAA